rnacentral:rRNA from 1 species
UGGGGAAUAUUGCACAAUGGGCGAAAGCCUGAUGCAGCAACGCCGCGUGAGUGAUGAAGGUCUUCGGAUUGUAAAGCUCUGUCUUUUGGGACGAUAAUGACGGUACCAAAGGAGGAAGCCACGGCUAACUACGUGCCAGCAGCCGCGGUAAUACGUAGGUGGCGAGCGUUGUCCGGAUUUACUGGGCGUAAAGGGUGCGUAGGCGGAUGUUUAAGUGAGAUGUGAAAUACCCGGGCUUAACUUGGGUGCUGCAUUUCAAACUGGAUAUCUAGAGUGCAGGAGAGGAGAAUGGAAUUCCUAGUGUAGCGGUGAAAUGCGUAGAGAUUAGGAAGAACACCAGUGGCGAAGGCGAUUCUCUGGACUGUAACUGACGCUGAGGCACGAAAGCGUGGGUAGCAAGCAGGAUUAGAUACCCUGGUAGUCCACGCCGUAAACGAUGAGUACUAGGUGUAGGAGGUAUCGACCCCUUCUGUGCCGCAGUAAACACAUUAAGUACUCCGCCUGGGAAGUACGAUCGCAAGAUUAAAAC